GGGUUUCUUAUCCAACCUCCACACACGCUCAAAUAGAUUAGGUUUCCAUGAAAUAUUUACACUUUUUUCUAUGGUCUUGGGAAAUCUGUAUCUAUCCACAUCAGCCGGGCUGAGUGAUAAGCCAGGCUGAGGAGAGCUGCUCUUUUGAUCAGCUGCUUUGCUCUUUACUGAGUGGGGAAGGCGGGGAGUCCUGGCUGAGCAUGCUCGGGUUUCCAGGGCAGCUCAGGACCAGCAAGGCUGCCCAAGGACAGGUGGCAGACACUGAGGAUGUCCACCUCUGUCCCCCAGCACUCCACGCGCUGACUGACGCACUGACGAUGCAGGGUGAGUAUAUACCCGGGUGAAGUCACUGUGUUGGAGGGGUUUCUGAUGUGGCAACCACAUGGAUCCUAACUGACCCAAACGUCGGCUAGGUCCCCUCGGGGCACCUCAAAAUGUCGCCUGUCAGGACCAGGGGCCUGGGCACUUUUGGGAGAGGCUUAGGUUUACAACAUACUCCCCUUGCAAAUAAGGCAGGUCCGUCCCACUGAUGGUGGGGAAUGUGCAGGGACCCCUCUCACGCCGAGGACUUGGUUUGAUGCGAGCACAGGACUGGACAAGGCAGGCAGUUUGCUCACCUGACGUCAGUGCUUUGGGGUACAGUGAAGGUGGCCCGAGAGGUUCCACCGC
rnacentral:lncRNA from 12 species